AAAAGGCCCUGGGGGUGCCCCCGGCAGGGGAGCCCUAGCACAGGUGCUGCAUGGCCGUCGUCAGCUCGUGCCGUGAGGUGUUGGGUUAAGUCCCCGCAACGAGCGCAACCCCCGCCGUUAGUUGCCAGCGGUUCGGCCGGGCACUCUAACGGGACUGCCCGCGAAAGCGGGAGGAAGGAGGGGACGACGUCUGGUCAGCAUGGCCCUUACGGCCUGGGCGACACACGUGCUACAAUGCCCACUACAAAGCGAUGCCACCGGCAACGGGGAGCUAAUCGCAAAAGGUGGGCCCAGUUCGGAUUGGGGUCUGCAACCCGACCCCAUGAAGCCGGAAUCGCUAGUAAUCGCGGAUCAGCCAUGCCGCGGUGAAUACGUUCCCGGGCCUU
rnacentral:rRNA from 1 species